rnacentral:rRNA from 1 species
CGCGGUAUUUUGACCGUGCAAAGGUAGCGUAAUCACCUGUCUUUUAAAUAAAGACCUGUAUGAAUGGCAAGACGAGGGUUUUACUGUCUCCUCCCCCCAGUCAAUGAAAUUGAUCUACCCGUGCAGAAGCGGGUAUAAAAACAUAAGACGAGAAGACCCUAUGGAGCUUUAGGCAUAUAUCAAAUAUGUAAAAAACCAAAUUUUUCCAAAUAGGCCUAAAAAAUGAGAAAAACAAGUAUUAAUGAUUAAGUGCCUUCGGUUGGGGCGACCACGGGGAAAAAUAAAACCCCCACAUGGAAUGGGAAAAAUAACCCUAAGCCAAGAAAAACACUUCUAAGCAACAAAAUUUUUGACCAAUAAACGACCCAGGGACACCAUCCCUGAGCAAUGAACCAAGUUACCCUAGGGAUAACAGCGCAAUCCUUUCCCAGAGCCCAUAUCAACGAAAGGGUUUACGACCUCGAUGUUGGAUCAGGGCAUCCUAACGGUGCAGCCGCUGUAAGGGUCGUUG